UAAAAAAUAACCAUCAAACUAGGAAUAGAAGAAAAUUACAUCAACAUAAUAAAGAUCAUAUAUGAAAAGCCCACAGCUAACAUCAUAUGCAAUGGUGAAAAACAUAGCUUUUCCUCUAAGAUUAGGAACAAGGCAAGGAUGCCCACUUUCACCACUUCUAUUUAGCACAGUACUGGAAGUUCUAGCCAGAGCAAUUAGACAGAAAAAAGAAAUAAAAGACACAGAAAUUGGAAAGAAAGAAGUAAAUUAUCUCUGUUCAUAGAUGACACGAUCUUAUAUGCAGAAAAUCCUAAAGAUUCCACACAAAAAUACUGUUAGAAUUAAAAAUAAAAAAAUUCAGCAAAGUUGCAGGAUACGAAAUCAACACUCAAUAAUCAAUUGUGUUUCUAUACACUAAAAACGAGCAAUUAAAAAAAUAAAUUUAAAAAGAAAUUAGGAAAUAAGCACUUCAAAAAUGAAAUUAGUAAACAGUGUGGACAUUCCUCAAAAAAUUACAAAUAAAACUAUCACACGACUAGCAAUGCCACCUCUAGGGCACACAUCCAAAAUUUGAUGCAAUCAGGUGCAGCAAAAUCUCACAAAUCACCACUAAAGGACGUACUCAUGCAACCAAAUACCACCUGUACCCCAACAACUUAUGAAAAAACUAAAUAAAUAAAUAAAUAAAUUUUUUAAAAAUCGAUGCAAUCCCAUUUACAACAGCAUCAAAAAGAAAUAAAGUUAACAAGGAGACAAAAAGGAUGUGAGGGUGAUCUCACUGCAACAUCUGUCACCCCAUUGAUUGCCAGCGUUGAUUUGGCUGAUCCAGCUGGAUAGGCAGGUGUCUCUUUUCUCCCUCACUGCUCCAUGUGCAUCUCUCUUGAAGCUGCGCACUGGUCGAAGGGGACGACCAUCACCCAUAGAGAAGUACUGGUCUUCAGUCAAGGGUAUACAAGAAGCUGCAUUCUCCUGUUAGAACCUCCAAACAAGCUCUCAAGGUCCAUUUGUAGGAGAAUGUAGGGUAGUCAAGCUUCCAAGACUCCAGACACUUCCAAAUGAGGUGCUGCAUAUAGCAGUCUGCCUUUCUUUUGAAAAAACAAAAAAACACAAGGAGACAAAAGACUUGCACAAUGAAAACUAUAAAACGAUGCUAAAAUAAAUAAAAGAAGACAUAAAUAAAUGGAAAGACAUCCUAUGUUCAUGAAUUGGAAGACUUCAUUUUGUGAAAAUGUCUGUACUGCCCAAAGUAAUCUACAGAUUCAAUCCAAUCCCUAUUGAAAGCUUAAUCACAUUUUUUGCAGAAAUAA
rnacentral:lncRNA from 10 species